AGAUACGGCUCCGUACACAUACGGCUCCGUACACAUACGGCUCCGUACACAUACGGCUCCGUAUGCGUACGGAGCGCCACAGACCGCCGGGAAAUUCAAAUUUUAUUUAAAAAUCGUCACACGUAUACGGAGCCGUGUACAUGCGGAGUCGUAAGCAUACGGAUCCGUAAACUUACGGUCUUAAAUGAAAGUAGCGGGGAAUUCAUAUUUUGAAUUUGAAAAAGUCGCACGUUUGCGGAGCUGCACAUGUACGGAGUCGUACACAUACUGAGCCGUACAUAUACGACUAAAUAAAUUUUUUAAGGCUUUGAAGAGGGAUAAUCGAUAAGCACUCUUUACUUGCCGUUAUUUUACUCAUAUCUGACUGGUUUAUAUCAUUUAUACGUCUCUUUAAUACUUUCAGCUAGCAUACACAUGAUACUCCCUCUUUUUCCAAUCUCUUUAUUCAUACUAGUCCGUUCUUCCCCAAUGCGUAUUCUAAAGUAUUGUUGAAUCUUGCUACUGUUCGAGUACUUUGUUGGGUGCCGUUAAUAGAUUAUAGUAUUAAUUAAUCUGCAAUAAUAUUCAUAUAACCACUAACAAGAAAUCUAUAGACAUGAGUUUAUGUCUUGGUAGAGAAUUCAACUCUAAAGCAGAGUUUGACGAUGCAUGUAAUAAAUAUUACCAAGAAACUGGAAGAAAGUUUACUUUUUCGACUAAUUACAUUGACACGAGAAAUUUAAAGAAAGUCAUAAAAAAUCGUAACCUCGAAAUCUACCACUGCUUGACGAGAUGCAUUCAUCACCGCGAACCUAAAGUUCUAAAAAAACGCGUGCGUAACCCUGUCAUCAAGACUAAGUGUGAAGCAUAUUCUUCCGUAUGAACAUCUACAAUGAAGAUAAAUUAUGAAUCUACAAAUGGAACGACAACCACAAUUGCGAAAAUGUGUCUUCAUCAUUAUUGGCUAUAGCUAAUUCAUCGCAGCAUCCACCGACUACUCCAGAUAAUUCUGCUGGUCCUUCAAAGAAGCGCUGGACCGACAAAAUAACAAAAAGCUUUCCAAAGCUUCCUUCCAUUUCUCCAGCUAACGAAACGAGUUCCAUACUUACAUCGGAUGAAGAGCCUUUGAUCGAAUCUCCGCCUUUCCCUGGUUAAAAAAGAAAAUUAAUAAGGAUUAAAAAUUGAAUGCAUCCUUUUUAAUUCUCCGUGGAGAAUUAAAUGGAAUUAAAAAGAAUUCAGAAUUAUAAGUUUCUUAUUCUACUUAAUCCUCCAUGAAGAAUUAAGUAGAAUUCAAUAGCAUGUCAAAUAAGAGAAAUUCAAUACUUUCAAACUCUCCGCAGAGAAUUAAAUAGAAUCAAAAAGAAUUCACAUUUUGAGAUUUUUCAUACUUUUAAAUUCUCCUUGGAGAAUUAAAUAGUAUCAAAAAGAAUUCACAUGAUGAAAUUUUUAAUACUUUUAAAUUCUCCGCAGAGAAUUAAAUAGUAUUGGAAAGAAUUCACCUACACAAAUUUUCAAUACUUUCGAUUUCCUCGCAGAGAAUUAAAUAGUAGUAAAAAGAAUUCACAUUUUGAAACUUUUAAUACUUUUGAAUUCUCCUUGGAGAAUUAAAUAGUAUCAAAAAGAAUUCACAUGAUGAAAUUUUUAAUACUUUUGAAUUCUCCGCAGAGAAUUAAAUAGUAUUGGAAAGAAUUCACUUACACAAAUUUCCAAUACUUUCGAUUUCUCCGCAGAGAAUUAAAUAGUACCAAAAAGAAUUCACGUUUUGAAAUUCUUCAUACUUUUAAAUUCUCCUUAGAGAAUUAAAUAGCAGUAAAAAGUAUUCACAUUUUGAAAUUUUUAAUACUUUUGAAUUCUCCGCAGAGAAUUAAAUAGUAGUAAAAAGAAUUCACAUUUUGAAAUUUUUAAUACUUUUAAAUUCUCCUUGGAGAAUUAAAUAGUAUCAAAAAGAAUUCACACGAUGAAAUUUUUAAUACUUUUGAAUUCUCCGCAGAGAAUUAAAUAGUAUUGGAAAGAAUUCACCUACACAAAUUUCCAAUACUUUCGAUUUCUCCGCAGAGAAUUAAAUAGUACCAAAAAGAAUUCACAUUUUGAAAUUCUUAAUACUUUUAAAUUCUCCUUAGAGAAUUAAAUAGUAGAAAAAAGAAUUCACAUUUUAAAAUUUUUAAUACUUUUGAAUUCUCCUUGGAGAAUUAAAUAGUAUCAAAAAGAAUUCACAUGAUGAAAUUUUUAAUACUUUUGAAUUCUCCGCAGAGAAUUAAAUAGUAUUGGAAAGAAUUCACCUACACAAAUUUUCAAUACUUUCGAUUUCUCCGCAGAGAAUUAAAUAGUAGCAAAAAGAAUUUACAUUUUGAAAUUUUUAAUACUUUUAAAUUCUCCUUAGAGAAUUAAAUAGUAGUAAAAAGAAUUUACAUGAUGAAAUUUUUAAUACUUUUGAAUUCUCCGUAGAGAAUUGAAUAGUAUUGGAAAGAAUUCAUAUGAUGAAAUUUUUAAUGCUUCUGAAUUCUCUGCAGAGAAUUCAAUAGAAUUCACCAUUACAAGCUUUUUAUCCUAUUUAAUCCUACAUGGAGAAUUAAAAAGGAUUUAAUAGCAUUUAAAAGUAGAGAAAUUCAAGACUUUUGAUUUUUUUACAGAGAAUUAAUUAGAAUUGAGGGUCAUAAGCUUUUCAUUCUAUUUUGUACUGCAGGGAGAAUUAAGUCGUUUUAAACAGCGUUUGAAAUAAAAGACUCACCCCAGAUUAAAAAUAUUCAUUGAAAAGAAUUGAAAAAAUUCGCUCCAUGCAAAUUGUAUAUCUAUAUAUGAAA